ensembl:lncRNA
CACCAAGUCCUUGAGUGUUUCUCUCAGGCUUCUGGCACUGUUGUGUGUGUAUGGAGCACCUUCCCCCACUCUUGGUGUCUCCUUACCCAGCUCUGCACCACAGGUCUGCCUGUUGCCAGCUGCAGCCCUUGGUUUCCACCAGGACUGGGGGUGAGGCAGAGAGAAAGGCUGAGGGAAAAUGCAGGAACCCUUUCAUCCUUUUAGGGUAGGAGGGCCAGCCUGUCGUUGACUGACCUGAAGUCCCACUCUGGUGGAAGCCACUGUGCAGGCAGGAGGCUCUCCCUGAGUUGCCCUAGGUCACCCUUCCCACAGAACCCUCCCACCCUGUACUGUGACCUCUGCAGGGUUCAUUGAGGAGUGUCAUCACAUGUGUGCAAAGUGUCAGCUUCAGCAGUGUCAGCUCCUCUCAAAGCACAAACUAUAAAGGAGAUGAUCUCUCCGCAGAAAAGAGGAAAGUGAGGAUUCAAGGUGCCAGUAAUGUGCCUCAGAUGACUUGAGCUCUCAGUGGUGGCAGAACCAGCACCUCAUGGGAACCUUCCUGGUUCUAAACCCAAGCCCUGGCCACCACCCCAUGGUGCCACCCUGUCAUUACGUGUCCACAGAGAAUGUUUGUUUAUGUAUGCAGGGGGGGAAUGUCUACUGUGAUGAGGGCUGGGUCCCCUACUCCCUGUCUUCCCACAUUCCAGGCAGAGGGCUGAGCUCUUCUCUGCAAUCAGCCUAGGCUCAGGGCUGCGGUGCCAGGGGAAGUGACUCCACUCCACACCUGUCAGGACCUGGCUCCCUUCAAGUUUCCCUUGCUGAGUAAAUUAACAUGAGCAGGAGUGUAGAAAGAACUUGUCCUACUUCACAAAUUACAUGUUAAGACCCCAACUAUUUGAGGACUGCAGGACACGGUCCAUAAAUAUGGCUGCCUCCACCCAUGACUUCUGCUUGGGGUGACGAAGUUGAUGGGGUCCUGUCCUGUGCCAGGCACUGUGCUGGUCUCUGUGGAUUGCUGAGAGCUCACAUGAGUAUUGCCUGCCUUGUGCUAUGAGGAAAAAAAUAAAAGGGAAAGAAUAGGUACCUUGUGUAAAAUCAUACAACCAAAGUUCAAAUCCAGGUCUAAUGCAAAGUCUAUGAUGUACAGAAGACCUUUACAAUGGCAUUUUGAUCAAAUUCAGAGCCCUCUUUCUAAUGUUCUAAUACCUGAGGUUUUCCUCGGGAGAGUCUGUUCUGUCACUCUCAGCUGUGGGGGUUCCUGUAAGGGCAGGAACUGUUCUGCAGCCAGCCCACCCCAGCUCUUCCUGCACUAUGCUGCUGAGGCAGGUGAAUCACUUAAUUAGUCUUGGGUUGAAAUCCACUUUGUCUGCAAAUAGAAUAGCU